rnacentral:rRNA from 1 species
CAGUCGCCGCGGGAAUACGAAGGGGGCUAGUGUUGUUCGGAAUUACUGGGCGUAAAGCGCACGUAGGCGGAUAUUUAAGUCAGGGGUGAAAUCCCGCAGCUCAACUGCGGAACUGCCUUUGAUACUGGGUAUCUUGAGUAUGGAAGAGGUUAGUGGAAUUGCGAGUGUAGAGGUGAAAUUCGUAGAUAUUCGCAGGAACACCAGUGGCGAAGGCGGCUAACUGGUCCAUAACUGACGCUGAGGUGCGAAAGCGUGGGGAGCAAACAGGAUUAGAUACCCCCGUAGUCCCUGUCUCUUAUAC